GACGUAGGGCGCGAGCGUUGUCCGGAUUAUUGGGCGUAAAGAGCUCGUAGGCGGCUUGUUGCGUCGACUGUGAAAACCCGCGGCUUAACCGCGGGCCUGCAGUUGAUACGGGCAGGCUAGAGUUCGGUAGGGGAGGACUGGAAUUCCUGGUGUAGCGGUGAGAUGCGCAGAUAUCAGGAGGAACACCGGUGGCGAAGGCGGGUCUCUGGGCCGAUACUGACGCUGAGGAGCGAAAGCGUGGGAGCGAACAGG
rnacentral:rRNA from 1 species